rnacentral:rRNA from 1 species
AUUGAACGCUGGCGGCAUGCCUUACACAUGCAAGUCGAACGGCAGCAUGGGUGCUUGCACCUGAUGGCGAGUGGCGAACGGGUGAGUAAUGCAUCGGAACGUACCCGGAAGUGGGGGAUAACGUAGCGAAAGUUACGCUAAUACCGCAUAUUCUGUGAGCAGGAAAGCGGGGGAUCGCAAGACCUCGCGCUUCCGGAGCGGCCGAUGUCGGAUUAGCUAGUUGGCGGGGUAAAGGCCCACCAAGGCAACGAUCCGUAGCGGGUCUGAGAGGAUGAUCCGCCACACUGGGACUGAGACACGGCCCAGACUCCUACGGGAGGCAGCAGUGGGGAAUUUUGGACAAUGGGCGCAAGCCUGAUCCAGCCAUGCCGCGUGAGUGAAGAAGGCCUUCGGGUUGUAAAGCUCUUUCGGCGGGGAAGAAAUCGCAUCUCCUAAUACGGGGUGUGGAUGACGGUACCCGAAUAAGAAGCAACGGCUAACUCCGUG